GAUGAACGCUAGCGGCAGGCUUAAUACAUGCAAGUCGAGGGACAGCACAGGUAGCAAUACUGGGUGGUAACCGGCAAACGGGUGCGGAACACGUACACAACCUUCCUUUAAGUGGGGGAUAGCCCAGAGAAAUUUGGAUUAAUACCCCGUAAUAUAGUUGAAUGGCAUCAUUUGAUUAUUAUAGCUACGGCGCUUAAUGAUGGGUGUGCGGCUGAUUAGAUAGUUGGCGGGGUAACGGCCCACCAAGUCUACGAUCAGUAGCUGAUGUGAGAGCAUGAUCAGCCACACGGACACUGAGACACGGGCCCGACUCCAACGGGAGGCAGCAGUAAGGAAUAUUGGUCAAUGGACGCAAGUCUGAACCAGCCAUGCCGCGUGAAGGAUUAAGGUCCUCUGAUUGUAAACUUCUUUUAUUUGGGACGAAAAAGGGCCUUUCUAGGUCAACUGACGGUACCAGAUGAAUAAGCACCGGCUAACUCCGUGCCAGCCGCCGCCGUAACAC
rnacentral:rRNA from 1 species